rnacentral:sRNA from 1 species
AGCUAAUGUCUGAUCGGGAGGAUGGCUGAGGACCUCAGGUUCUGGUGUCCAGGUGCUCUGAGCUCUUAAAAAAGGAAGGAAUUACUUCAAUAUGAAAUCAGAUGGUUCCCUUCCAUGUGGUGUGGUGGAAAAAGCAUAGACUUUGAGGCCCACAGACUGUAACUUUAACAUACCGACUUUUCAGAGCAUCAUAAGGAUAAAUGCACUCAUGUGGAGUCUCAUUCUGUCACCAGGCUGGAGUGCAGUGGCACGAUCUCGGCUCACUGCAACUUCCGCCUCCUGGGUUCAAGUGGUUCUCCUGCCUCAGCCUCCUGAGUAGCUGGGACUACAGGUGCGCACCACCACAUUCAGGCAACCGUUGAACCUUGGGAAAACCGUGUGGCAGAGUGGGGACCACAAACAUGUUUCUAAUAAGUGACCGUGACCCUCAGUGCAACCUCCACUGCUCCAGGACUCAACCCAAACCCAUCUGUGCCUCUGAUGGCAGGUCCUACGAGUCCAUGUGUGAGUACCAGCGAGCCAAGUGCCGAGACCCGACCCUGGGCGUGGUGCAUCGAGGUAGAUGCAAAG